rnacentral:rRNA from 1 species
GUAAGGAAUAUUGGGCAAUGGAUGCAAGUCUGACCCAGCCAUCCCGCGUGCCGGAAGAAGGCCCUCAGGGUUGUAAACGGCUUUUGACGGUGAAGAAUCGACAGGAUGCGUCCUGUUUUGACGGUAGCCGUUGAAUAAGCACCGGCUAACUCCGUGCCAGCAGCCGCGGUAAUACGGAGGGUGCGAGCGUUGUCCGGAUUUAUUGGGUUUAAAGGGUGCGUAGGCUGGAAGGUCAGUCAGCGGUGAAAAGCUGUCGCUUAACGAUAGUCUUGCCGCAGAUACUUCCUUUCUUGGAUGAGGAGGAGGCCACUGGAACGGAUGGUGUAGCGGUGAAAUGCAUAGAUAUCAUCCAGAACACCGAUUGCGAAGGCAGGUGGCUGUACCUUAAUCGACGCUGAUGCACGAAAGCAUGGGGAGCAAACAGGAUUAGAAACCCGGGUAGUCC